ensembl:snRNA U6 U6 spliceosomal RNA
GUGCUCGCUUCGGCAGCACGUGUACUGAAAUUGGAGCAAUACUGAGAAGAUUAGCAUGGCCUCUGGGCAAGAAUGACAUGCAGAUUCGUGAAACAUUCCAUAUUUUU